rnacentral:tRNA from 1 species
GCAUCCGUAGCUCAGUGGGUAGGGCACUGGUCACAUAUACCACAGCUGGUGGGUUCGAACCCCGCCUGGGGCC